ACGUAACAAGUGGAUAGAGAUAAGGGUAAAACUGGAAUUUUGCUUCUCAGAUCGCUCUCGCCUCACUAAAUGGUCAACUACUUCCACUACCCUUGAUUAAUUAUUCGUUACUUCUUGUAACAAAACUGUUAUGGAUUGUGCCAUUGUGGAUAGCCUCUUCUCAUUUUAAUUUUACUUAAUUAAAAAUCUCAGAGAAAACAGACGAGGAGAACCAUUCUUUCUUUUUUUCCCCUUUCCGAUUUUUGCUAUUGAAAUAGGAGAACCAUUCUCGUCUGAAUUUUAUCUGUUUUCUUUCUUUUGUUGCAGCAGGAUAUUGAAAUUGGACAUACUGAACCACAUCUUCCAUGGAUCAGGUCAAGACAAGGGGUUCUCCACUGGAGGCGUACAUGACAAGUAAACUCUUAAGGCAAUGUAAGAGCAUAGCAGUGGGAGUCUGUAUAAGAGUCACUUACUAAUUAAAAAAUUAAAAAUAAAGAAAAAUGAAGAAAGAGAAGAAAUGAAUGGAAGAAAGAAGGCAAAAGCGUCCCUGCGCAGAGAGACUUUUGUUUUGUGUUGAAGUACCAAUCGCCAAGUGUCAUAUUUCUAUUGAUUGAAUUAACUAAAAAAUAAAAGAAAUAAUUAUAUAAGAUAAAUAAUGAUAAUUAUUAUACUUAUUUUUUGAGAGAUCCA